UACGUAGGGGGCAAGCGUUAUCCGGAUUUACUGGGUGUAAAGGGAGCGUAGACGGCGAUGCAAGUCUGAAGUGAAAGGCGGGGGCCCAACCCCCGGACUGCUUUGGAAACUGUAUGGCUGGAGUGCAGGAGAGGUAAGUGGAAUUCCUAGUGUAGCGGUGAAAUGCGUAGAUAUUAGGAGGAACACCAGUGGCGAAGGCGGCUUACUGGACUGUAACUGACGUUGAGGCUCGAAAGCGUGGGGGGCAAACAGG
rnacentral:rRNA from 1 species